CUGGGUGUAGUCAAGUACUUGACUUGUCGGUGCGUGUGUCAAGAUAGGAUUGACCACUCCUGUUCAGGAGUUGUAUACAGUCGUGUUUCAAUUUAGCAAAACCUUAGCCAGGGUAGUCCUAGUGAGAAGUCACAGGACUGUUUGAGUUGAGCACGAUUCGGAUGAUCUGAUCAGGAUUGACAGUUUAUCCCAGAGUCAUCCUAC
rnacentral:lncRNA from 1 species